ACAGGGUUGUGUUUCCUGGCCACCAAAUGGCUGUGCCCUGCAGCCACUCAGCUGUAUCCCAUGCUGGGCCACUGGUGAAAGUUGCUCAGUCGUGUCCGACUCUUUGCAACCCCAGGACUAUACAGUCCAUGAAAUUCUCCAGGUCAGAAUACUGGAGUGGGUAGGCUUUCCCUUCUCCAGGGGAACUUCCCAACCCAGGGAUCGAACCCAGGUCUCCCACAUUGCAGGCGGAUCCUUUACCAGCUGAGCCAUAAAGGAACCCCAUCAAACCUUUAUUCGGAACUGAUUGUGUUUAAAAUAGGGUUCCACCAGGGUGACGUGGGAUGUGGUAUUAACCUCUCAGAUUCCAUUGCUUCAUCCCUUACACGGGCUUGAUGAUGUCUUCCUCAUAGGCAGAUGGACCCCAGUGAACUAUGCAACACAGCCAGCAUCCAUGGCCAUUGCUUCCCUGCCUUCAACUACAGGGAAAUGGAAUGCGCAUUCACAAAAUGCGACUGUGUCUCACAAGAGAACUCCUGAGGAGCCUCAGUGCCCUCAGCCUGCAUUUGUGGAGUCUGAACUGGGUCCACAGCUGUUCUGCCUCAGUGUGGGGCCAAGGCUAACAAAAAGCAAAGCCUCUGGAAGAAGAGGAAGUGUUCUCUGGAUGCUGAAUGGGAGACCUUGA
rnacentral:lncRNA from 1 species